AUUCGUUAGUAUAGACUUAACAUUUUGAGCUCCCCUGAAUAUAAUAUUCGGACGUUCAGGUAUAAUUUUAUUUAGUGUUUCAUCUUGUUUUAGAAGAUGCCAGUGUUUUCUUAUAACAUUUUUACAUUGUUGCUUUUAUUGUUAAAAUUGAAGAUAAUUGGUAAAGGCAUUGUUGUGUCUGUGGUUUUAGGUUUGUAUUUUAGGAGUUUGUUUCUAUCUUUUGUU